AAUCAACGCUGGCGGCGUGCCUCAGACAUGCAAGUCGAACGAUUAAAGCUCUCUUCGGAGAGUGUAUAGAGUGGCGCACGGGUGAGUAACACGUAAGUAAUCUACCUUCGAGUGGGGAAUAACGUCCGGAAACGGACGCUAAUACCGCAUAAUGCAGCGGCAUCGCAAGAUGACAGUUGUUAAAGAUUUAUCGCUUGAAGAGGAGCUUGCGGCAGAUUAGCUAGUUGGUAAGGUAAUGGCUUACCAAGGCUACGAUCUGUAACCGGUCUAGAGGACGGUCGGUCACACUGACACUGAAUAACGGGUCAGACUCCUACGGGAGGCAGCAGUCGGGAAUUUUGGGCAAUGGGCGAAAGCCUGACCCAGCAACGCCGCGUGAAGGAUGAAGUAUUUCGGUAUGUAAACUUCGAAAGAAUAGGAAGAAUAAAUGACGGUACUAUUUAUAAGGUCCGGCUAACUACGUGCCAGCAGCCGCCGUAAAAC
rnacentral:rRNA from 1 species